rnacentral:rRNA from 1 species
CGCCAGGGUAUUACGAGCGCAAGCUUAAAACCCAAAGGAUUUGACGGUGUUCCACCCACCUAGAGGAGCCUGUUCUAUAAUCGAUAAUCCCCGAUACACCUCACCACUUCUUGCUUUUUCAGCCUGUAUACCUCCGUCGCAAAUCUACCAUCUGAGUGUAAUAAAGUAGGUCUAAUGAACCACCACAUUAAUACGUCAGGUCAAGGUGCAGCCAACGAAAUGGAAAGCAAUGGGCUACAAUUUCUAAAAUAGAACAAACGAAACACUACAUGAAAUAUAGUCAUGAAGGCGGAUUUAGCAGUAAAAGAAGAAUAGAGUGCUUCUUUUAACAAGGCCCUGGAACGUGUACACACCGCCCGUCAC